rnacentral:rRNA from 1 species
CGUGGGUAAUCUACCUUCGAAUUGGGGAUAACGUUACGAAAGUGACGCUAAUACCGGAUAAUAUCAUAGGGACUUUGGUUCUUAUGAUCAAAGAUGGCCUCUCCUUGGAAGCUAUUGUUUGGAGAUGAGCCCGCGUCCCAUUAGCUUGUUGGUAGGGUAAUGACCUACCAAGGCGACGAUGGGUAGCUGGUCUGAGAGGAUGAUCAGCCACACUGGAACUGACACACGGUCCAG